rnacentral:lncRNA from 1 species
UUAUUAUAGCUGUUCAUGCUAUUUUAAUCUGCUCUGUUUAGAGGUAAGAGGGUAGCAGUGACUCUGCAAUUACUGAGUACAUUUGAUCCACGGCGCAGCUCCCGGAGCCGGCGGAGGGCCCUCUGAGUGGGGUGGUGCCGUGUGUGGCAAAUCACUUUCAAAUUUACUAAAAAUAUGCCCCUUUGCAGCCAUGCAGAUAUCAUAAUUUUCUUCCCUGAGGCUUAUUGAAAUUCCCGUUUGCUUUCUGCCAUCCGCUCACGCCCAGCACGUGUCCCUUGGCCCUCCUGCCUGUUCCCUUUCAUUCUUUGUCUUGGCCAGGUUCUGUCUGGUCUCUCUCGCCCUCCGCCCCACCCCACCUGCUUUUUCUUCCUCCCUCUUCAUUUCCUGCUCCCAAAUAUUUUCUAUUCUACUGACUGGCACGCUAGUGGAACCAUUUUUGUUUGCCACGGUCAGGAGAAAAAUACUUAGAAUUCUAAAUCUACCAACUAUUUCACAUUUAAACAAGCUGGACCGGCGCUGCGCCUCCUCCAUACAGUAAUUGUUGCAUCCCCAGGCUCCCUUUUCUAUCUCUGUUGCUAUUUCAUUCACUUUUCUAUUUGCAGCCAGCGCAGAAUAUGGGCUUCUCCCCCUCCCUGCCUCCUGCAGCCCGCUUUCCAGCCCGUGACCUUGGCUUCCCCGAGGGCUCCACUGUAAAUGAAAUGUGGCAUUGCCACAUGUAUCUUGAUAAAAUAUAUCAGUGGAUGAAUUGAUUUUCAUAUUGAUUUCCUUGGACGAGCAAGGUGUGUGUGGAAAUCGUGUCUCUUAAUGAUAGUCCUGGAGAGUGGCAGGAUGUGGAGGGAAGGGCAGGCUUUGUUUUGCUCUCACUUAGGAAAAGUUUCUGCUUCUUAGCUUGGGAGAGAGGCCUCUUGGCUUUGUAAGCUCAUCCUCUUUGUGGGAGGAACAAGCAAAUGUUCCUAGGGUGUGGCCUUCCCCCAGAGAGGACGUGCCACCCCGGUGACUGCCUGGGUCUUUGGGCGAGCAUGUGCUUGGAUGCUCCCAUGCACCUGGAUGGCGCCUAUUGGAGAGAGCUGGGAAACUCUCCAGCCCUCUCGGAGACCCCGCAGCAUAGAGGAUCUUGGAUGGGCAGAUGUAUUUGCGUGUGAUCUUUAUACACCCCCUGCCCCUUUCCAGUUUCAUUUGUCAGGUUAGUUGAGAAGUGGCAUGUGAAUCCAGGACUGAUGCUGUGGCCCGAGGGAGCCACAAGGAUGUGCUUGACCAGGCAUCAUUCGUAAGUGUCAGUAUCAUUGGCUGGGCUUGCAUCAGUGUGUGUGCUUGCAAGCGUGUGCCUAUAAAGAUCUGUGUGAGCCUUGUGUAUGGUUUGGGUGGGAACGAGGUAGACAACAGUCUCCAGGCUUGCAGUGGCUUUUAUUACCAAGCUCUGGACCACCGAAAGGACAGCAUCCAGUGCGGUGAUCAAAACUUCAUUUUCUCUCCUCUGCAAUUGCCUUCCCAAUUCCCUCUCCCAACCGCUCCUAAAUAAAGUAGAUGCUUUCAGCCCUCUAUUCAAUCCAAGACGUGAGCCGAUAGUUGAAUCUCCAUAUGAGGCUAAAUAAGUAUAGCUUAAGGUGAUACUGUAUAUUAUGUGUAUGCUCAUACAAUAAAACACAGUUACCUAGAAUAUUUGGGGAUGAAGCUGUGGUAAUUCGUUAAUGUUUUCUGGCCAACCGAGGCUUAACUAGGCAAUCCUUUUGGUUAUAAGUGCUGCUGAAAGGCUUUUGCAAAACCAAAAUAGUACGCUUUUCUGCUUUCUAAGCGCCAAAGAGUGACAUAAUUGAAUCCUUUGACAUUUCAUGAUCUUGCGGCAUAUGAGGGCUCGUCCUUGGUUCUUACUUAUGAUUACACAUGUCGCAUGGAAAGUGUAGAACUGGUUUGAGUUAAUAUUUACUCCAAGAAGGUGGUUCUCAACCGGGGACACUUCUGGCUCCCAGGACACAUCUGGCAAUGUAUGGAGACACUUUUAGUUGUCACAGCUGAGGGAAGCUGUUCCUGGUAUGUAGUGGGUAGAGGCCACUGACACGUCUGAGCUCCUUAACAGUGAUCGGGGAGGCCCCCUUCCCCACCCCCACUACAAACAAUUAUUUGCUCUGAAACGUCAAUAGUGCUGAGAUCGAGAAAUGCCCGUUUAGGACAUAUCUUUAAAAUUUGGGGUCCAAAAAUUUUGACUAAAUUCUUGCACACAAAAUAUUUUGUUUUCAUGGAUCUGGCUUUUCAGAAGAAUCAGGUGCUGGAAAUGUUCUGAAUCAUUGAAGCCUCUAAUUCAUUGACAUUUAUUGUUCCAUAGAACAAAUAGGGAAGCCUGCCAGUUUGCAGAUAGGCAGGCCUGUCCCCAGAUGGCCUGCCAGUGAAUGCUCAGAUUCACUGAAUCAUUUAGGACCAUUAAAAACCAUUAGGGCCACACUCGCUUCGGAUUGAACUAAGCAGAAUAAAUAAUCCCAGAGGGGGCCGUGGCUCACCCUUUUCUCUUUGUCUUUGCAACCUGCAAACUAACUUCUCAGAGACUUGCAGCAGAACUUUCUGAUGAGACAAGGUUCAUGCUACUUCCUGCAGGUCAGGGAUGGCCUGGCCUUGGCACCUUUGGCAGGGUUUCCAGAAUAUGCAGAUCUAGACCUGUAUCCUGUUGACUUCCAAUGUUGUGCCAACACACACACACACACACACACACACACACACACACACACACAAUUUUUCUUAUAUCAUUCCGCAUCGGGUUCUAUCCCGAGAUUGGACACGGUUCCCUGUGCUGUACAGCAGGACCUCCUUGCUCAUCCAUUCUGAAUGUAAUACUUGGCAUCUACUAACCCUGUCCUCCCAGGGCAUCCCUGUUUAUUGGUUUUGAAUGACCCUUAGUGAGCCUUUGGCGGACCCUGGCUGGUUUGGGUUUGGUGGGUGCAUCCAAAGGCAAAUGGGAGGAUUUUGCAUAUCCUACGUCUUUGAUCCUCUUGGAAGACAUCGUUGGAAGACGAUGGGUCCCUAUACUACAAAGUCUUUAAAGCAAAAUCGAACUUGUUUGGGGAGAGUUAGGAAGGCUUUAGGGCCUUUCAUUACAGUACAGGAAACGCUUUUACUGUGAACUUAAUCUCAGAUGAAACUUCGGUGUCAGACAUUCUGGAUCUGUAUUUCGCAUCUUUGUAUUAACCCACACCCUCUUUCUAGGACACUGUAAGAGUCUAGUUAAGUGAAGUCGGUGUGACUGGUGAAUGCAUGUGAGUAGUUGAAGGAAAGAUGUUCAAUGCUUGGUUUAAUGUGCAGAUUACCAAUCCACGGUGCCCUCUGGCAGGGGUUCUUUAUUUCAUAUAAACGAAGAAGGAAAAAUCUGUCCUUGCAAGACUGACUGAUUUUCCAGAUCAAUCACAGAGGGUGGAGCCAUGCAGACUGAGGCGUGGGUCAUCUCUUGGGUUGAGUUUUAGAGAUUUGCCUUACAUUGUACCUUGGGGGUGGCGGGGGGUGCGCAGGGAGAGAGGACGAGAGGUGGAGUCAGGCGGCCCACAUCUCGGCCUGGUUGAGCUGACCGCCUUCUAGCUCUGUGACCUUGAACAAGUUGCUUAACCUUCCUGAGGCUCAUGAGGACAAUAAGACCCCUGUCCAGGCUUGGUUUGAGGAUCAAGGGGGUGGGAAAGCACUUUGUAAAUUGCAAAGAGCUGAGUAAACAUCAGGCACUCGGGACAUGGUUCCGGUGUUAAGUAAGAGCAGUGCCAUUUGUAAACCAGGUUUUGGGUGCAUCCCCAGCAUUGUUGGUGAGGAGUCCAGCCUGCUCUGCACGCUCUCCUUUAAGGAAGACUGGAUCUCCCCAUCGGCCGUCUUCUAGCUGAGAUGCUAAAUGGAGCCAUGGGUGGUACCUGGGGUCUUUCUCCUUCCCCUGCAGACUCUGAGGGGGCCUAGAUGUGUCUCCCCUCCUCUCUCUCAGAUGGAAUUGUAUUUAUAGCCUGGUAUAAAUACAAUCAGAAGGUUCCUAUAAAACUCUGUUAUUACUGCAGCACGAAGUUAGACGUGCUUGAGGUUUCGGCUUCUUGGCUCUUCCAUGCGGCAAUGAAUAUUUUAUGGGAAAGGAAAUACUUAGUGUCUGACUCUUUUUAUAGUGCAGCUACUCACAGGGCUGGUAACUGUCCAGAUCUCUCCAAAAUCAAAAGCGUUGCCUGUGUCCAUCUCUCUGCUCCUUUCUUCACCAGAAUCCAUCCUGCUGGUGUUGGUGUUCUCCGGGUGAAUCCGUCCAUUUACGCCAUGUGUGGGGUGCCCUUUCCGACCCUAAUGAACACCCUAAACCCAAGGAGUUGGCUGCUCCUCAGCUCUGCCCCACCUCUUCUGGCACUUGGUGGUGCUGGUCAGCCCCAGGAGAGGUGAGCUGGAAGGAUGCCCUGUGGACGCUCCACUUGAAGGCCUCCAUCCUCUUUCUGCCAUGCUGCCUUCGCUCAGUGCCUGUCGCCUCCGGAGGAUGUGACCCAGCCUCUCCAAAGCCUCCUUGGAUCUUGGGAUUCAGAAAGCACUCAGUGAACGUAAGGUCCGGCAGAGCCCAAGGGGCUCCUCCCUCUUAAGGCCUGAGCUUGGGGUGGAAGGUCUUACCCAGAGCAGCCAGCAGGUCAAUGAGAUGUCCCUUUCAGGCCCUUUUACUGUGGUCCCUGCAGUGACCCCAGACGUAAGACCAGAAAAUGGGGCCUGGGCAGUCUUGGCCCUGGCUUGCUAGGCCCAGGCCUUUAAGUAGAGGAAAUGGGUCUCCUGGCAGGUCAGCAUUGGUGGAAAUGGCUCCUCUGGCACCCAAGGCCGUCCUGGCACAGGUGCUCAGCUGGAUUGGCCCAGUGAUCCUCAGGCCCGUGUCAUGACAAUAGCAGCCCCGCAGACCAGGUUUAUGGCCAGAUAACGAUGUCAGGGAACACCCAACCUCGGGAGCUUGCCCACGGGGCUCUCUCCCCAGAGGCCCCCACAGGCUGGCCAAGGACUUAGGUCUCCUGUGAAUUCGGACAAAGCAGCCCGGGUAAAAAAAUUACCAAUGCCCAGAGAGCCCCAAUGUGGAGAGGAUGGCGAGUGUGAAGUGUGGCUUCGGAGACACAGAUGCAGAGCUGGCUGGGCUUCACUGCUUAGCAAGGAUGGGUCUGUGCAAAACACUUUCCAUAAUCUGCAUACGGAUCCCACACUUCAUUUAGCGGGACCCUGGGAGCGCACCAUUUCACCACGUCUGCCUUCUGCUCUGUGUUUGUCUUGGCGCCAAAGUAGGUACAGGGAGAGCGUGAUUUACAAACCUCUGGUGGCUUUGGUUUGUCCUUCCAGCCCUGAUUGCGUUACCACCAGAUAAAGCUGUGUUUCCUCACUGCAGCUUUGUACUGGCUCUUCCAGUGUCCUUUUUACCCCCUCGUCUUUCCUCUUUUUCAGUUUUCAGGCUCCCUGGUGGCACAGGGUGGGCGGCGAGGAGAGGGCUUCUGGUCUUGUAGGAUCACAAGCUCCACUGUGCCUUCAGCUGGGAAGGCGAGGGAAGGGUUAUUGCUUGUUUUUAAUAGAUGGAGUGGGAUCAGCUGAAGGCUCACUGGAGAAACUGAGCACACAUAGCAUUUUUUUUUUCCUGGGGUUGGAUACACAGUGAGGGUAUUGAAUGCAAGUGAACAUGUAGGGUCCGCCAGGUUGAUGGGUGGGAUGGAAGAACUGAAAUCCUCAAAUGGUCUAAAAGCAUCAUUAUUGGUCCUUACUCAUCUGUAACUGGCCCUCUUCGUCUGUGAGGUAAACAGUGGAGAUGGGUAAGAGAAAAAGAACCCAAGAGAGAAUAAAGAGGGAGAACGUCUACUAAAUGUUGUAUACUAAGUAACUGCCUUGUGCUUUUAAAUGAAUAGCUUUCAGGUUAAUUCCAAAGCUAAGACUGGGCAAUUUCCUGGUUCUGGGAUCUGGGUAGUCUAUAGGUGGGAUCAUGGGUCUGGGGAUCAGAUCUGGGUACCAGUAUUGAGCAUCUCAUUCCGUGUCUAGAUAGAGAUGUGCUGAAUCCCAUGGAAGAUUCAAGGGUGUAUAUCUGUAAUCCCUUCUCAGAGGUUAAGGCCACACACACACACACACACACACACACACACACACGUGCUGCAUACACAGAGGUAGACAUAGCCUGUGGAUCAUGUGAGAGCUGCUUUUCAUUCCAGUGCUCCAGAAAUUCACAGAGCACCCCCAGGGUAUCAAAAAGGAGACACGAGGCGUUCCCGUUGUGGUGCAGUGGGUUAAGGACUUGACGUUGUCUCCCUGAAGACGUGGGUUCGAUUUCUGGCCUUGCUGAGUGGGUUAAGGAUCUGGUAUUGCUGCAGGCUGCGGUGUGGGUUGUAGAUGUGGCUCAGAUCCGGUGUUGUUGUGGCUGUGAUGUCGGCUGGCAGCUACAGCUCUCAUUCAACCCCUGGCCUGGGAAUUGCCAUAUCCCAUAGAUGUGGCCAUC